GACGAACCGUGCAAACGUUGUUCGGAAUCACUGGGCUUGAAGGGCGCGUAGGCGGGCCAGCCAGUCUGUGGUGAAAGCCUCCAGCUUAACUGGAGAAGUGCCGUGGAUACUGCUGGCCUCGAGGAGGGUAGGGGCAUCUGGAACGGUCGGUGGAGCGGUGAAAUGCGUUGAUAUCGACCGGAACUCCGGUGGCGAAGGCGAGGUGCUGGGCCCUUUCUGACGCUGAGUGCGCGAAAGCCAGGGGAGCAAACGGG
rnacentral:rRNA from 1 species